rnacentral:rRNA from 1 species
UACGUAGGCUGCGAGCGUUGUCCGGAAUUAUUGGGCGUAAAGGGCUCGUAGGCGGUUUGUCGCGUCGGGAGUGAAAUCAUCUGGCUUAACUGGGUGCUUGCUUUCGAUACGGGCAGACUAGAGGUAUGCAGGGGAGAACGGAAUUCCUGGUGUAGCGGUGAAAUGCGCAGAUAUCAGGAGGAACACCGGUGGCGAAGGCGGUUCUCUGGGCAUGAUCUGACGCUGAGGAGCGAAAGUGUGGGGAGCGAACAGG